rnacentral:sRNA from 1 species
UAUUGUGUGAGGGUCCAAGCUUUCUG